GAAGCCUGCUUGCGAUUCUCAUUCUCUUUCUGCCUCUCUCUAAAAAGUAAAAAAAAAAAAAAACGAAAAAACUGUUCAGAAAGUAUUGAAAUGAGACAGAAAUAGAGGGAAGUCUUUGAGAGUUAAACAUAUUUUUUUGUUAGGAAGGGAAUAUUAAGGAUUAGGUUUUUGGGAGGCCCACUGUUAACAUUAUAAUUCCCAGAGAAAGGAAAGAGUUGAUGUUCUAGGUGCUUAUGGAAGCAGAGAAGAGGAAGGAAAAUAAUACUUGUCUUGGUGGGCAUGUGUGUCACAUUCUGGCUAAGAUUUAUUGGGAAAGUCCCAUGGUAUUUACUCCUGUCAACCUCAAGUACAGACCAUCAUAAUUCCAUCUUAAUUCUAGUUGGACUACAGACAGGGCAUCUGAAGAAAAGAAGGUGUAAGGGAUCAAGACAUGGUUGUUUCCUUUUCUUCACAUAUUUGAAAAAGGUAUUAGGCUUAUUCUGUAGCUUGAGAACAGAACUUGGGCUACUGGAUAUCAAAAGUCCCCCCCCACCUCUGCUAAAUUAGUGUCCAAACCACUUUUCCUUUGGUGGUAAACCCGACCUAAACUGACAGGAAGCUUUUUUCUCAUUAGUGUGACUUACGGUUUGCCGAGAAACAUUGAAACGUUUGCUUUCUGGAUGCUGCUUCAGAGCCCUCUGGAGAAGUUGUAAGGCUGAGGCUGAAAUUUUGUCAAAUACCAUGGCCUUAUGAAAAGAAUACCUAUUUAGAUCUGCAGAAAUUAACUCAGAAGCUCUAAUUUGGGUGAGUCGGUCAGGUUUGAUUUGCCAUAUGUUUUUAUAGUUCAGGAGAGUUCUCCUUACCUUUCCUGAUAUUAAAAGUCACUUGUUUUUAUCAAUAUAAUCAUAGAAAUAAAGUCUUACCCCAAAGAAGCCCUAAAAGAUAAAAAAAAGAUAUUACCCUCAGUCCAUUAAAUAGGCUUAUAGUUUAUAAUAGCUUAAAAAUUAAUAGGAGCUUACCCCAAGUUGGUUCAAAAUAAAAGUGAUUAACUGUGAAAGAAGAAAAAUAGAUCAAUGCUAGUGUUAUGAAUGGGCUUACUUUUUAACUUAUUUGUAACUUAGCACACAUAUAAGCUAGAAGAUUUUUCUAUAUGAAAAUCUUUUUUUCUGAAAAAUUAAUUCCAUUUUAUAGUUUUAUUGAUGUAAGAUUUUAAAAUGGAUAUGCAAUAUCUAGAUUUAAGUUCCCUUAAUUCACAGAAAUAUUUUAUUGUAAUUGUAUUUACUGUUUCGGAAGGAUAAGAACUUGAUGUGAACGGUUAAGAAACUCACUGUUUACAUAUCCGUGCAAGUGCUAGGUUUCUUGAAGUAUGAAAAUUCCCUAUGUGAAUGAUACUUCACCCAAAAUUUUAGGAUGGCUAUAAACACUUUGCUACAAGAGUUUGCUUAUACAAGCAGUUUUGCUGGAAAAAGUAUUGCUUUGUAGCUUCCACGGGUCCUUCUGUCAGACUGGCAGCUUGGUCAAGGAACUGACCAGUGAAAGAAAGUGACUCCCUCCAUACUUGUAGAGCUGUCCAUCCCAGCGUGUGUGCAAGAAUAUAUAAGCUAAACACGUCCCGAUGUUCGCUAAGGCGAGGGCAAUACCCGAGGCAGCGUUUCCCUAGGGUCCCUCUUCCUCCCUGCUGACUUAACUAGGACUCCUGGUAGAAAAAAAUUAUCAUGGCUGCGAAGAUAGGGCAGUUCUAGAAGUUAUUCUGUCAGAAGUCUUUCCAGGAUAAGUUGUGGCCAACAGCACUUUAAAAAAAAGUUCCGAAAAAGAAAGUAUAAAUAGAUAUUAAGUGUUCAGAUCUGGUAAUGUGAAUGAGUCCUGUAUCUGAGGAGUCCUGUUUUGCACUGGAAGAGACCUGGGAGGUAAAAUGAUACCUUUACCCAGGGUUGUGCAGCUAAUUUAAUUGUAAAAGAGAUUAAAUCUAGAGAGAAAUUAGAAUCCAAGAUUUGAAUCUAGGCUUUCCAACCACAGGCCAGUGUUCUUUCUGCAUGUUUUGAUGUAAAGAUCAACUUGCCAAUUUGUAAUCAUUAAUGAUUUUUUUUGUUAAUCAUUAAUGAUUAAUCAUUGCAGGCAGUUUCCUAAAACAUUUUUGGUUAGAAAUAUGCUGGAACUUUUAUUGUCUGCCAUUUGGAAAUGGGCUAUAAUGUUGCUGACAGAGAGGAUUAUAGGAAGAGCACCAGCACUUGAACUCUAGAGACUUAGGUUCUUAUUGAUUAGACUCCGAAGUUGUUUGAGCUCAACUUUUCUGUGACACUUAAAUAUUCCUCAAGAUGGUUGGCUUUAAAUAGCCUCAGAUCCCAAAAAAUUUUAUCUCUGGCACACAAAUGAUUUAGGCCUAAGUUUCUGACAUUUUUACAAAAUACUGCAUGUCCCUGAUUCUAAGAUACCACCAAUGGUAAAAUGUACCAUUUUAAAUGAUAGUCUUUAAAAAAAAAAAAGAGAGAUCUUAGAAUAAAUGUAUC